UACGGAGGGUGCGAGCGUUGUCCGGAAUCAUUGGGCGUAAAGGGCGCGUAGGUGGCCCGGUCAGUUCGUGGUGAAAGCCCGGGGCUCAACCCCGGGUCUGCCAUGCCGACUGUCAGGCUGGAGUACUGUAGGGGCAGGCGGAAUUCCGGGUGUAGCGGUGGAAUGCGUAGAGAUCCGGAGGAAGACCGGUGGCGAAGGCGGCCUGCUGGGCAGUUACUGACACUGAUGCGCGACAGCGUGGGGAGCAAACAGG
rnacentral:rRNA from 1 species